CCUCAUUACUGUGUGUGGGAUUCUUUGUGCCAUCUACGAGAUCCUAUUUCUGUCAGCGAUAUUCGGGUUGCCGAGCUGGAGCGAGGGGUUCAGUUGACUGGCGUGACAAGCAUCAGCCUUUACAGCAGGUGCCAACAAUUGCUUCGCACAGGAAAAAAGAAAAGUUGCGCACACAAGACGCCGCCCGAAGAAGAAACAAAAUGGCACAAGCGCUGCUCCAGGCCCAAGAAUAUGUACUAGGAAUCAACCUCAGCAAUAUGCUUAUAAGAAUCGACCUCAGGAAUAUGCGCCAACUAGACCCGAACGACGUUUCAUUGAAGCUCCUCUUUAUUGCAGUGCAUCUUUUUAGGUGACUGUUUCUGACAGUUAGACAGUGCUGAGUAAGUGAUGCUAGAUAGUGUCUAAUGUUUGCUUAUAUUGGAAAUUCUCUAAUAUUCAAGCAAUGUUCUUUUUCGCAAGAAAAGGGGUUGGGCCUAGUUUGGUAGCCCAGAGUAAUCCACACCAAAAGCUUUCAUGAGACUGGAGAAAAUGUCGGAAAUAAUCAAACUCUGAGCUAUAAAAAUUUUUGAGAAAACAAUAAACAAAAGUUUCUAGAUCAA